GACGAACGCUGGCGGCGUGCUUAACACAUGCAAGUCGAGCGGUAAGGCCCUUUCGGGGGUACACGAGCGGCGAACGGGUGAGUAACACGUGGGUGACCUGCCUCUAGCUCUGGGAUAAGCCCGGGAAACUGGGUCUAAUACUGGAUAUGACUCCAUGACGCAUGUUGUGGGGUGAAAGCCUUGCGCGGCUAGAGAUGGGCCCGCGGCCUAUCAGCUUGUUGGUGGGGUGAUGGCCUACCAAGGCGACGACGGGUAGCCGGCCUGAGAGGGCGACCGGCCACACUGGGACUGAGACACGGCCCAGACUCCUACGGGAGGCAGCAGUGGGGAAUCUUGCGCAAUGGGCGAAAGCCUGACGCAGCGACGCCGCGUGAGGGAUGACGGCCU
rnacentral:rRNA from 1 species